UACGAAGGGGGCUAGCGUUGCUCGGAAUCACUGGGCGUAAAGGGUGCGUAGGCGGGUCUUUUAAGUCAGGGGUGAAAUCCUGGAGCUCAACUCCAGAACUGCCUUUGAUACUGAGGAUCUUGAGUACGGGAGAGGUGAGUGGAACUGCGAGUGUAGAGGUGAAAUUCGUAGAUAUUCGCAAGAACACCAGUGGCGAAGGCGGCUCACUGGCCCGUUCUGACGCUGAGGCACGAAAGCGUGGGGAGCAAACAGG
rnacentral:rRNA from 1 species